AUUGAACGCUGGCGGCGUGCUUAACACAUGCAAGUCGAGCGGUAACAGGUGUAGCAAUACAUGCUGACGAGCGGCGAACGGGUGAGUAAUGCUUCGGAAUCUUCCUCGUAGUGGGGAAUAACCUGGGGAAACUCAGGCUAAUACCGCAUACGAACUACGGUUGAAAGCAGGGGAUCGCAAGACCUUGCGCUAUGAGAUGAGCCGAAGUCGGAUUAGCUAGUUGGUGGGGUAAAGGCCUACCAAGGCGACGAUCCGUAGCUGGUCUGAGAGGACGACCAGCCACACUGGGACUGAGACACGGCCCAGACUCCUACGGGUGGCAG
rnacentral:rRNA from 1 species